AGACCGGAUCGGGCGGUCGCGCCUCCAUGACCGGAGGCGAGGAAAGUCCGGACUCCGUAGGGCAGAGUGGCCGUUAACGGCGGCCCGUCGUGAGGCGGGGAAAGUGCCACAGAAAGCAGACGGCCGGCGCUUCGGUGUCGGUCAAGGUGAAACGGUGAGGUAAGAGCUCACCAGGUCCCGGGGUGACCCAGGAUGCUCGGCAAACCCCACUCGGAGCAAGACCAAAUAAGAGGGUUGGGCGGCCCGCCUCAAGACCCUCGGGUAUGGUCGCUGGAGCCGUCCAGUAAUGGACGGCCUAGAGGAAUGACCGUCGCCUCCUUUUGGGAGGGACAGAAUCCGGCUUACAGAUCCGGUCUGGAU
rnacentral:RNase_P_RNA from 1 species